AAGAGAACACGCACUAAUAAGAACUGCUAAUUACUUACAAUUAAGGUUAAACUCCUUAAUUCUCUUG
rnacentral:tRNA from 1 species